AAGUCGUAACAAGGUUUCCGUAGGUGAACCUGCGGAAGGAUCAUUAAUGAAGCGUACCCUCUGGGGGUUGUGCUGGCCUUGCGCAAGUGCACGCCCCCUCCGGUCGUCCGUCCCUCACACCUGUGCACGAAGCCCGUCGGAACGAGAGGUGGCCUCUGCGCCCCUCCCGGUCUGGCCCUUUCACAUCAGCCUAUUAUUGUACGUCGAAUGCUUUAUUGCGCACGCGCAACCGAAAUACAA
rnacentral:misc_RNA from 1 species